UACGGGGGGGGCAAGCGUUGUUCGGAAUUACUGGGCGUAAAGGGCUCGUAGGCGGCCAACUAAGUCAGACGUGAAAUCCCCAGGCUCAACCUGGGAACUGCGUCUGAUACUGGAUGGCUUGAAUCCGGGAGAGGGAUGCAGAAUUCCAGGUGUAGGGGUGAAAUGCGUAGGUAUCUGGAGGAAUACCGGUGGCGAAGGCGGCAUCCUGGACCGGCAUUGACGCUGAGGAGCGAAAGCCAGGGGAGCAAACGGG
rnacentral:rRNA from 1 species